ensembl:ncRNA C03C11.6 ncRNA
GGAAAUGAGACACAAGACCAGAUUACAUCAAUUACCGUAAUCCGUUCUGAACUUUGCGCUAUAUCAAUUAGACAAACUCGGGGGCUCUAGAACACGGAGAGAUCAUGGAGUGCGGCAAGACGCAGGAACGUCCGGGCAGCCGAUUUUUGUGUGUUUCACAGUGUUUCAAACAGUGUCUUUUCGGUUGUCAAUUGAGCGAGAAGAGAGUAGAUGUAGAUGCG